UACGUAGGGGGCAAGCGUUGUCCGGAAUCAUUGGGCGUAAAGCGCGUGUAGGCGGUCCGGUAAGUCCGCUGUGAAAGUCCGGGGCUCAACCCCGGGAGGCGGGCGGAUACUGUCGGGCUAGAGUCCGGAAGAGGCGAGUGGAAUUCCUGGUGUAGCGGUGAAAUGCGCAGAUAUCAGGAGGAACACCGGUGGCGAAGGCGGGUCUCUGGGCCGAUACUGACGCUGAGGAGCGAAAGCGUGGGGAGCGAACAGG
rnacentral:rRNA from 1 species